ACCCGCAUUCUCGUCAUCACCACCCCUGUGUUUUCCAUUCUCAUCGUUUCCACCGCCGCCACCCGAGUUGUUAUUGCUGUUAAUAUCACCACCAUCGCCGCCGGCGCAGAAGGUUAAGAAAGGGGAAGAUCGGCUGUGACGGAGACAGGUGGCGGAGGAGGAAAGGCGGAGGUGGAGGUGGAGAGGGAAAGUGGUGGGGAAUUUAGGGGUGAUGGUAAGGGAAUUAGGAGAGGAAAGUGGGGAAGGGGUGAGAAGGCAGGCGGCGAUGGACAUUGGUGGCUGCAGGUGGUGUCAGAGGCGGAGUUUUGGUCAGAGA
rnacentral:lncRNA from 1 species